GGGCGGGGCGGGGCGGGGCGCGCGGCCGGGGCUGGCGGGAAGGGGGAGGGCCGCCGGCGGCCUGACCGUUCUCCUCCUGCAGGGACGCGCAGCCGGGACCGCCACGCGCAGUGCGGGGUUAGGAGGGCGGGGCCAGGGGACAAGAAGGGAGGCGCCCGGACGCUUUCAACGGUCCAGGUCUGCGGAUGGAGCGCGGACCUACCCCCUCACUGUCCCCUUCCGCAGUCAGCGCCAGGCGCCAGGGAGCUGUCCGCCCCGGUGGUUCUGAACCAGGCGCUGCUGAAACGCUCCAGGUUUUGGUGUUGGUGCUGUUAACAGCUAAUUUCCUUGGAUCCAGAAGCUGGAUUUUUUUGGAUCUUAGAAGCUGGCUUGACAUUGAAGUCUGUCAAAGAGAAUUUGCAUCUGCUUUUCACAGCAUCCUAGAGGUGCUACCAGUUUGGUACCACUUUGAAUAUAUUUAUCUAUUUGUGAUUUUUGGUGGCUGCAGAGGUUCUGUGAAUUUGGACUAAAAACUCUUGUAAUAUCUUAGUUAUAUAUUUUCAGAGGAAUUUUUUUUCUGUUUUUUUUUUUUUUUUGCCAGCACCAAGUCUAGAUAGAGACAGGAUCUAGCUAUGUUGCCCAGGCUGGAGGGCAAUGGUGUGAUCAUGACUAAUUGCAGCAUGAAACUCCUGGGCUCAAGUCAUCCUAUUGCCUCUGCUUCCUUAGUGACUGGGACUACAGGUAUAUGCUACCACACCCAGCUAAUUUUUAAAUUUUUCUGUAGAGACUGGUUCUCACUAUGUUGCCCAAGCUGAUCUUGAACUCCUGACCUCAAGCCAUCCUCCUGCCUUGGUCUCUCAAAGUGCUGAGAUUACGAGCAUAAGCCUCUGCACCUGGUCCUCUUUUAAUCUUUAUCCUACUGACAUGUCCUGCAAGUUACAACGCCCAUGCUCUGACAUGACAAAAGUGAGAAGACAACAGCUUUAAGGUCUUUGCUCAGUAGGAGUAAAGAAUCCUGGAAGGGACUAUGCCAUUUGAGGUGGAAACAGGUCCUCAAGGCAGAAACUCAUUUAGAUUCAAUGCCCUUGUGCUUUAGGGACUCCUCUAUUUAAAGCUAGAGUAUUCUUGGGUGGAUAGUUAUUAGCAAGGAUGAUGUUGAGGGAGGGUCACUAAUAGGAGAAACCUUAUGACCAACUUUGCCCAAGAAAAGCCCGAACUAGCCUGGAUAAGCGCCGUGCCCCUCUGACAGUCAGGAAGCACACCUUAAAGGCAAAGGCCCUACCCUCUGGACUCCAUGCCUGACACAUGCGACCCCCACCACCUGCUCACAGGGAAUUGGACCAUGGGUGGGUGCCUUUCCCAGAACCAGCUAAUUUAUAGGCUAGCUUUUCAUCUAUAAGGGCAGGAGAGUCAGGCAACUCAAUGCCACUUGGAUGAUGGGCAUGAAGUGAAUCACUCAUAUCCUCUCUCAAGGGGUUUGAAUGUGAAACAGACACAAGAAAAGUGUAUUUAUAGGCAGCAGCAGGAGCAAUAGGACAAUGAAAGAGAGGAGCUGAUUCACAACAUGAAGGAAACUGAGAGGAACAAUGGAGGGCUGUGAUGUUCCCAAGGCUGCUGGCAAGCUGUGAAAACUGCUGCUGAUCCUGAAGGGUGAAUCUGCCUUGAACAUUUUCAAUUCCUUCUAUUCCCAUGUUGUUUUUAGAAUCGUGUUUUAAAGAAAACCGGUCCUUGAUCUUGGUGCUCAUUACCAGAAUAUGUGCUUUUGGUUGUAGCAUUGGGUGGUAGCAAAACUUUUGGUUGUAGUAUUCCACUUUUCCUAAUAACUUAGUUCUUAAUAAUUUGCUGUGAGACCUUGAAAAUUUGAGUAUAUAUGAUGUGCGACAUCAGCAUGUGAAUUACGGAGACACAACGUAACAGCUUAUCAACCUUUGAAGACAUUGGUACUCAACAUCUUUUUUGACUGUAAAUUUUUUAGAUUUAACUUUUCCUGGAUUAAUUUCUUAGAAAGUCACCAAAUUGAUCAUUUAGAAAAGAAUUAAAAACUACACGGCUUCUUAAAUUUUUGGUAUGUGCAUUAAGAAUUGUGUACUAAUUGCUCAUAAUGUCUGCAUACUGACCUUCAACAUGACCGAAAUCAUCUGAAUUAUGAGAGAAAAAGAUUGGGCACGGUGGUUCAUAGCUAUAAUCCCAGCACUUUGGAAGGCUGAGGUGGGAGGAUUGCCAGAGUUCGAGACCAGCCUGGGCAACAUGGUGAAACCCCAUCUCUACCAAAACUAGGAAAAAACAGCUGGCCAAGGUGGUGUGUGCCUGUUCUCUCAGCUACUCAGGAGGCUGAGGUAGGAGGAUCACUUGAGCCCAGGAAGCAGAGGUUGCAGUGAGCUGAGAUUGUGCCACUGCACUCCAGUCUGAGCAACAGAGUGAGACCUGGUCUAAAAAAACAAAUGCAUAAAUAAAUAAAAAUAAAUAAAUAAGACUUGAACAGACACUUCACUAAAGAUGUAUACAUGACAAAAAAGCAUACCAAAAGAUGUUCAACAUCCUAUGUCAUUACAGAAAUGCAAGUUAAGACAACGAGAUAACACCACACACCUAUGUGAAUGGCCUAAAUCCAGAACACUGACAGCACCAAAUGCUGGGAAGGAUGUGGAGCAAUGGCAACUCCCAGUCACUGCUAGUGGGCAUGCAAACUGAUAUAGUCACUUUGGAAGACAGUCUGGCAGUUUCUUACAAAGCUAAGUCGUUUUACCAUACAACUCAGAAAUCUCACUCCUAAGUAACUGACUUGAAAACUUACAUCCACACAGAAACCUGUACGUGAGUGUUUAUAGCAACUUUUUUCAUAAUCACUAAAAACUGGAAGCAACCAAGACCAAGAUAUCCUUCAAAAGAGAUGUACAAACCGUGGUAUAUCCAAACAAUGGAAUUAGUCAAUAAUAAAAAAGGAAUAAAUGUCAAUAAUAUGAUGACUAAAAGGAAUAAAUGUCAAUAAUAUAAUGACUAAAUGGAAAAAGGACAUUGGGGAAAAAAAUAGGAAAAUCUGUAUAUAUGGACUUCAGUUAAUAGCAAUAUAUGAUUGGCUCAGCAAUUCUAAGAAAUUUAUCAAGCUAAUAUAAAAUGUUAAUAACAGGAUGAUGGGGCUAAGGACACAUUACUGCAAAAUAUGGCACCUUGGCAUUUGAGAAAAUGGCAGGAACUGAAGGUCACACUCACCUUCCCUCCACCCUUCUCCCCGGAGCAAGUCAUAAAAUAGUGUCAGCAGAAAACGCUCAAAACGCUCAAAUUGUUUUUUUUUUUUUUUUUUUCUGUUUUCACAUCACAACAAUUAACAUAGAAGACUUUUGUGAUCCCAAAAUAUGUAUGGAUUUCUCCCCACCAGCAAGCAAGUGAUUGUGCAGCAGACACCAGUGGGGUGUCCUCCAAUUUAGUUCCUACAUUAUCUACCUGGAGUUAGCAGCAGAUCUAGCAGAUUGAGAGCUCAUUCCCAUGAGACUGUCCCCACUUUUGAUGCCAAUGGCAAGUUCAAGGUUAUUUUGCUUGUGCUUCUCAACUAUUGGCUGCAAAUCAGGGUUCCCAAGACUCUCUCUACGAGUUUGAUUAAUUUGUUAGCUUACAUAACUCAGGAAACACUUAUAUUUAGUGGUUUAUGAUAAAGGGUAUUACAAAGAUGAAGAGAUGGAUAGAGUGAGGUAUGGGGGAAGGGGCACAGAGUUUCCAUUCCCUCCCUGAGCAUGCAACCCUCCAGGAACCUCCAUGUGUUCAGCUAUCUGGAAGCUCUCCAUACCCUGUUCCAUGGGCUUUUCAUGGAGUCUUCAUAGGAUAGGCCUUACUGAAGUAUAAACACCUAUGCAGAAAUGUGAUUGGGGCCGGGCAUGGUGGCUCACACCUGUAAUCCCAGCACUUUGGAAGGCCGAGGUGGCUGGAUCACCUGAGGUCAGGAGUUCAAGAGCAGCCUGGCCAACAUGGUGAAACCCUGUCUUUACUAAAAAUACAAAAAUUAGCCAGGUGUGGUGGCGAGUGCCUGUAGUCCCAGCUACUCAGGAAGCUAAGGCAGGAGAAUAACUUGAACCUAGGAGGCAGAGGUUGCAGUGAGCCGAGAUCGUGCCACUCUACUCUAGCCUGGGCAGCAGAGAGAGAUUCCCUCUCAAAAAUAAAAAUAAAAAAAGAAAUGUGACUGGUCCAAAAGGGCAUGAUCGAAUACAAAUAGAUGGAGGGGCUAAACCCAACAAGGCCUGUCUGUUCUGACUCCACUUGGCUUCCCUGUGCAGCAUUCCUUCCUCCAGAUCAUGGGGCAAGGUCCCUUUUAAAACCUGGGUCUUAUGGCCUGCAGUCAGACAAGGUAGGUCUGAGAAUUUCUAUAUGGCCAACUCCAAGACAGAGGGGUGGGGGAAGAUUAGAGUAUAUUUUAGUUUCUAUGACCUGCCUUGGGGAGAAAUAGCAAGAGAUAUGGGAGUUCUGAGUCAGGAAUCAUGGAUGAAAACCAAAAUAAAUAUGUGUUUAAAACAAUAUUGGGCCGGGCGCAGUGGCUCACACCUGUAAUCCCAGCACUUUGGGAGGCCAAGGUGGGUGGAUCACAAGGUCAAGAGAUCGAGACCAUCCUGGUCAACAUGGUGAAACCCCGUCUCUACUAAAAAUACAAAAAAUUAGCUGGGCAUGGUGGCGCAUGCCUGUAGUCCCAGCUACUCAGGAGGCUGAGACAGGAGAAUUGUCUGAACCCAGGAGGCGGAGGUUGUGGUGAGCCGAGAUCGCGCCAUUGCACUCCAGCCUGGGUAACAAGAGCAAAACUCCGCCUCAAAAAACAAACAAACAAACAAUAUCACACCUAAGAAGGAUUUUUUGACCUUCCCGAAGUGGAUCAUUAAAUAGGCACCCACACUGUACUGGCGAAAAAGGAUAUUAUCCUUAUCUCUCAAGAUACAGGAACAUGGAGAGAAAUCUGAACAAACAGGCCUUCUGAGUUCCCCCGGUUUAUUACCAUUAGAUCAUAGCUUUUCAUCCAGUCAUACUUACAGUAAUUAUCUGUCUAUCUUUUGUUAUAGGGGCCUCAACCAUGAACCUAGCAAUAGGUAAGGAAAACAUGUUUUCCUUCCCUUACAAGGAGAGGCUGUGGAAGGGAAGAGGGGGUGGUACAUGGAUACUCUGUACUGUCUGCUCAGUUUCUUUGUAAAUUUAAAAGUGUUUUAAUAAAUAAAAUCUAUUCAUUAAAAAAAAAACAAAGAAUAAAGUUCUUUUGGUGAGUUUAAGAAUGAGAAACAUUUUAACUCAAUUUUUAAAACUCACUGCUUUCUAAUUCACUAUUUAUUAAUUUAUAAAAUUAUGUUAUAUAAUUGAUUACUUUAUUUUAUUCAUAAAGUUAACUUACUUCAUUGAUACCUGAUUAUUCUCAUACCUUUGCCCUAGAGAUCAGAAACUUUUAUUGAGUCUCCUUACUCCCCACAUUAUAGGUUCAAUUGUUUCCUCUAUUUCCUUCUCUUUUCUCAUUUUCUCAAACAAGAUAUAGUUGGGAAAAUUGAUUGUACGAUUAGGGUCUCAUCUGGAGUUGUCGUGUUAGAGAAGGAUUCUUACUGAAUUCAGCGUGACAAGUCACUUUAGGUAACACAAGUUAACUUUGUUUAGGGUGCCACUCAAUACCUAGAAAUCUCUCCCAGGAAAACUGGCUGGUAUCUGGUUUACAGAUGUGAAAUGGACCAAUGCCCUCAGAAACUUGCAUUACUGCAGAGGAAACCUGAGGAAAAGAGGUUCCAAGACUUAGUUUCCUAGCCUCAGGAUGGCAAGUAACAGGAGAUUUGUAAAAGUCUGAGAUCACUUAAGAAAACUUUAAGGCAGACAUUAAUUUGUGCACUCAGUAGUUAUUCAGUAAUAUAAAGUUCUAAAUAUGCAAAAGCAAACUCAAGAAAGCAUCUAUGGUUUAGUAACAAUUUUGCUGCCCUGUGGUAAUAAUUAGGCCAAAUCUAAGGAGACCAGCCUUUUUUUGUGAUCAAAAAUACACUUUUUUGAGAUUACUAUGAUUACAGGUUGAGGAGAGGAGGGAAAUAGACAACCAGGAAAAAUUGUGAAUUACUUUGAAAUGUGGGAAAAAUUAGUGCCCUAUCUAGUAUACCCUUCUCUAACUUUCAUCUUGAGCUAGUUCACACUAGGUAGUUAACUGGAUUUCUUUUUUCUGUGAUGGGAUCUUGCUAUGUUGCCCAGUCUGGACUUGCACUCCUGGGCUCAAGCAGUCUUUCCUUCUUAGCCUCAUGAAUAGCUGGGACUACAGGCAUACACCAGCUGGCCUAGUUAUCAAUACAAAUGACUCUUGACCACAGACGUGAAAAUUAAUCUUGUCCAGUGGAAGUACAAUUAAUUUCUUUCCCUCACCACAAAAGAAGCCAAGUUUGCAUCUAUUGAACAAAUUUAUAUUAACAUUGCUGAUUGCCUCUGCAUGUGUCUGCUCUUGAGGUUUCUCUUUAAUUGGUUGUAACGUGUUACUGUUUCUCAGAUUAAAUAGUGAGCAGAAUAAACUCUGAUAUGUGUUCAUUUUAUAUUGGUAAGAGAGUCAUGAUUUUACUCUUUAAAACAAAUAGUAUACUAAACAAUUGAUUUAAUAAAACCAAAAUCGAAGGUUUAUCAAACUCUUUAUAUGCUUAAUGACAGAGUUUGGAUUGUAUAUGUAGAGGUCAGAGGCUUGAUUCCAAUGUAGGAGAUGAGGGCUGGAGAUGAAAAGGGUGGGUGCAAUUGCUCAGGGCAAAGGAAAGCAGUGAGCCAAGCCAUUUCUCUCUACAGACCAAUGUUUGAGAGGCAGGUGGAGGAAGAGAGAAACCAAGAAGGGGCCAGGCGCGGUGGCUCACGCCUAUAAUCGCAGCACUUUGGGAGGCCAAGGCAGGUGGAUCACAAGGUCAAGAGAUCAAGACCAUCCUGGUCAACAUGGUGAAACCCCGUCUCUACUAAAAAUACAAAAAUUAGCUGGGCAUGGUGGUAGCCCCUGUAGUCCCAGCUACUCGGGAGGCUGAGGCUGGAGAAUUGCUUGAACCCAGAAGGCGGAGGUUGCGGUGAGCCGAGAUCGCGCCAUUGCACUCCAGUCUGGGUAACAACAGCGAAACUCUGCCUCAAAAAAAAAAAAAAAGAAAAAGAAACCAAGAAGGAAUAGUUGGAGAAGCAGAGGAUUUCCAUAAGAUGCCAGCAGUCAGCAGAGUCAAAUGCUGCAGAGACAAGGCAGUGCAAAGACUAAACACAACCUAGCACACCCACUGGAUUGGACCAUGUGUGGCUCUGGCCAGUGCAGUUCUUGUCAAGUGAUGGAGGCAGCCAAGGAAUCAGUGAUGUGACUGGGAGGUGAGAAUUUGAAGGAUCAAGUGGGUACAUCUUUGAAGAAGGCUUUAAUUUGAGAGGAAGGACUUAGUUAAGAGGUGGCUGAAGGUGGAGAGAGGGGAUUAUUUAUGGGUGGAGAACCCAGUGGUGGUUGGAAAAAAGGAUCUGGAACUCAGGAGCAGCCCACUGGUCUGGGGCAGGAGGAAGGACCCUAGUGAUCUGACCUGGCGGGGAGGAGAGAGGGUGGACAGGGAUGGACAUAAGCUUGUCAGUCAGGAUAUGGGCAGCAUAGAGGAAAUUUAGAAUCACUGGCCUCAACUUUCUGGAUGAAGUCAAAUAGGUGAGAACUCACCAGGGAGCUUAAGGUGAGGGGGACAUUCAGAGCUGUUACUGAGAGGGAACUGAGAAAGAAUGGCUGAGAACAAAUAGAGAGCGCACGAAGCAGCCCUGCGGGCCUCCCUGAGGAUGCACUUUGCAAUGGAUCUGGUACUCAUGGUCCUGAGAUAUUUUCCAGUAGAGAUCAACCACUCAGGAGAGGGCCACAGAUGACACACAAUGGAAUUGAUUUUCCAGGGCUGAGGUUUACUCAGGCAAGGGCAGAAAAAAACUUGCAUGGCCAGAACAAACCAGAACUUUGAAAGAUGCUGGAAGGGAAAGGUAAACUGUGGCAACUGCAGGUGUUCUGGAAUGAUUUGUGGCAUCUGUCCUCUAUGACAAAGAUUUCAGGGUGGACGAGUCCCCCUCAGAAUGUGGGUUAGUAUGCUGAAGAGUAGAAAGGAGGUCAUGGGUCAUAUGAUCUGUGUAGCCUUAGGAAAAUCACUUAACCUCCCCGAUCGCAGUUGCCUCAUCAUCUGUCUAAUGAGAACACUGAGUCAGAUCAUUCCCUGAGUUUCCUCUAGCAAGUACCACAAUAUUUGUGGCCAGUGGACUAUUUAGGGAUGAGCUGUCAAUAUCUGAGGUCCUCUCUACCAUCUUUCUUAUUGGAAAACUACCAUGCUUCCUCAAUAAUCCUUGGUCUUUCCAGAAAGUUCUAUCAUCCAUCCACCCAUCCAGUUUUAUAUGAAUUUGAUAAACAAGUUGUGAAUUCUCUAAGCUCCAUCUACACUUCCAAGACCAGAUUGUCCUGGUGGGUGGCAGUGGGGCCAAUGGUCAGAGCAGAGGUUCCCUCCACAUUGUCUACCUGGCUAAUCAUUUCACAUCCUUGCAGAGGCUGGUGUGGAUCAGCCAAUUAGAUGACCUCCUGCAGUGCAAUCAGCUUUGUUUUCAAAAAGCAAACAUAUUAAUGACUAUUAGUCUCAUCUGCUAUGUCUUUCCUUUGUAAUAUUUUAACUUAAAAAUUAUGGUAAAAUAUACAUAACAUAAAAGUGACCAUACUGAAUAUUUUAAUUGUACAGUUAGGUGGCAUUAAGUACAUUCACAUUGUGGUGCAAUCAUCACCAUCAUCUAUCUUCAGACCUUUUUAAUUAUCCUGAAAUGAAACUCUACUAAUGAAACAAUAACUCCCAAUGCCCUCUUCCCAUAGCCCCCAGCAACCACUAUUUUACUUUCCACUUCUAUGAAUUUGAGGCUACUUGUCUACUCUCCACUUCUAUGAAUGUGAAUUCCACUUGUCUCAGAUAUUUUUAUUUUACUUUCCAAUUCUAUGAAUUUGAAUUCCACUUGUCUCAAAUAACUAGAACCAUAUUUGUCCCUUGGUGUCUGGCUUAUUUUGUUUAGCAUAGUAUCCUCAAUAAAUCCAUAUUAUAACAUGCCAAAAUUUCCUUUCUUUUUAAAGUGAAUAAUAUUUUAUAAUUUGGAAAAAGCACAGUUCAUUCAUUCUUCUGUAGAUAGACAUCCGGGUUGGUUUUAGCUUUCAGGUAUUGUGAGUAAUGCUGCUGAUACAGUUUGGCUUUGCGUCCCUACCCAAAUCUCAUGUCAAAUUGUAAUCCCCAUGUGUUGGAGGUGGGGCCUGGCAGGAGGCUAUUGGAGCAUGGGGGUGGUUUCUAAUGGUUUAGCACCAUUCCCUAGUACUGUCUCAUGAUAGAGUUCUCAUGAGAUCUGGUUGUUUAAACGGUGUGACACUUCCCUCCUCUCCUCUCUCUCUCUCCUGCUCCUCCACCGUGAGAUGUGCUUAUUUCCCCUUCACCUUCCGUUAUGAUUGUAAGUUUCCUGAGGCCUCCCAGUUAUGCUUCUUGUUAAGCCUGUGGAACUGUGAGCCAAUUAAACCUUUCCUCAUAAAUUACCCAGUCUCGGGUAGAUCUUUACAGUAGUGUGAAAAGGGACUAAUAUAUCUGCUGUGACCACUAAACAUUUUUAAAUGGAUACACAUGAACUAAAAAGGAGAGAAAUGUAGAAUCAUGAGAUUGAAUAUCAGAGAGACAAGAACUGCUUGCAUCUAUGAAUCAGUAGAAAGAGGGUGCCCAGGUCAGACUACAUCGAUGAUUUGGCCAGAAAAGAGCUUGCUCCCUGGCUGCUUGGCUUAGGGAGAGUUUGUUUCCUCACCUUGGUCUUUCAGGGCUGUGGGAGAGUGAGCUGCAAGACUGCCCAGCUGGCACUCUUCCUGAAUGUGCAAGAAUGGAUUUCUCUCUGCAUUCAAGGAGGCCAUGCAGAAAUAGGGACCUCUUAAUCUUUGUGCUUUGAGGGACCAUAUCUUCUUCCCUCCUCUAGAAACUCUGUGUCCACAUAGGCAGCAUUGUGUGCUGUGGGGGGUUGGGGGUUAGAAAGUCUGUCAACUGAUUGACUGGAUGACUGAUGUGUUCACUCAUUGACUAGAACUAAUGCCCUUGGGGUUCUAAGGCACAGAGGUGCAAGGCAAGGUUCAUACUGGAGGAGCCCUCAGUUGACAGCCAGGAGAAAAAGGAGGAUCUGAGAGACAAUUAAGCACUCAGGUGAUGCCACCUCUGUUAUUGAUAUUUUCUAUUUGCUACCUACAUUCAUUGCAAUUGACUUUUGAGAAGGAGACGCCAUUGUAUUUGGGUUCUUAGUGUCUAAAGAUGAUCAUAAAAUGCCUUCCAUGAAAUCUUUCCAUGAAAGAUUCUUUGCAAAUUUGAGUUAAUCAUAGAUGCUUGAGACAAGAUACAGAAAGGACUAAUCAUAAAAGAAAAAUAACUGGUAAAUUGGACUUCACUACAAUUAAAACUUUCUGCCUAUUCAAAUAUGCCAUUAAGAAAAUGAAUAUAGAAACCACAAAUAGGGAAAACUAUUUGUAGAGCCCAUAUCUGAAAAAAAGUUUAUAUUUGGAAUAUGUUAUUAAUAAAAUAAUAAAAAGAUAAUUCAAUUUUUAAAUGAACAAAAGACUUGAGCAGGUACUUCACAAAAGAAUAUGUGUAAAUGGACAACAAAAGAAAAUAUGCUCACAUUAUUAGUCAUCAAGAAAAUGCAAAUUAAAGCCACCAUGAGAUUCUACUUAUUCGCACACUAGAGGCUAAAAUUUUUUUUUUAAAAAAAGGACAAUACUAAAUUUUAGUGAGGAUGUGGAACAAUGGGAAUUGUCACAGAUGACGAUGAGAAAGUCAAAAGGCAUAACCGCUUUGGAGAACUGUGUGAUGGUUUCUAGUAAAUUUAACCAGAAAACUACCUUGUGCCCUAGCAAUUCCACUCCUAGGUAUUUGCCCAAGAGAUAAAGAAACAAAAAAGACUAGCACAAAAAUAUUCAUAAGAGCCUUAUUGAUAACUCAAACUGGAAACAGACCAAAUGUUCAUCAACAGAAGAAUAGAUUUUUAAAUUGUGGCAUAGUCACAUGCUAGAAUAAACAAAUGAAUACAUUCUGUUUGAUUCCAUUUAUGAAGUUCAAAAACAGACAAAACUAAACUAUGGCAAUUGAUGUCAGAAAAUGGUUGCCUUUGGGUCAAAGGGUGGUAAACGAACUGAAAAGGCGAAUGAGAGAACUUUCUAGAGUGGUGGAAAUGUUCUGUGUUUUUGCCUUGCAUACACAAUUGUCAGAACUCAUUGAACUGAUCCCUUAAGAUCUUUUUAUGUUUUUGUAUGCUAAUCAUGUUGAAAGGAAGAAAGGGAGGAAGGAAAGAAAGGAAGGAAAAAGGGAGAGAGGGAGGGAGGAAAGGAAAGAAGGGAAAAAAGGAGAGAGGGAAGGAGGAAGAAAGGAAAGAAUAAGGAAGGAAAGAAGGAAAAAGAAAAGGAACGAAAAGCAAGAAUGAAAGAAGGAAGGCAGGCCUAUAGUCUGGUUAAAGAGUUUUGAGGAAAUGCUUACGCCUAGAACAUGGGUGCUGUGUGGGAAAGGGGUAGGAAAGGAGGCCAGCCCUUGCUUAUACAGACCAAGCUGACUAUGACUUUUUAUUUUUUUUUCUGCAGGCAGAGGAGACCUGAGUAAUUCUAUGAAGGUGAAUUACAUUCGUGCCUUGGAAAGGCUACCUUAAUGAUAGAUGAGAUAUGGGGAGUUGGACAUCUGCUGUGACCAGAGGGCUGUUACAGAAGGGAAUUUGGAGAUUCCAGUUGGUUACAGGGGCACAUGCAAUGUUAUUUUUAACCUCCCUUACAGGAGGGACUGGCAUUUCUUUGGUUGCUAGGGAAAUUGUGUUCUGAACAGUUACACAUUGGUUCCUAAUUUUAAAAGUCUUAGGGAAAACUAGAACAUUUUAUGAGCCAGUACCAGUGUGCUGUGCUAGGACUGUGCACCUGCUAAAACGUGGCUAUUGUUCUCUUAAUGUACUCGUGGGUAACUGUCACCAUAGCAACAACAACGCGGGACCUUGCUGGUUCAUAGCGGAGGAUUCCUGUUGGUUUAGUGAUGGAGGCCAGUCCAGAAGCCCAUUCAGGAUUGCAGGAAGGUGUUGAAUUAGGUGGGAUACACUGGCAGCCACUGGAUGUGCAAGGCACAGGGUGGGAAGGUGUGCGCAGAGGGUCAUCCGGCAGGAGGAACACAGGAUUUCUCACAGCCCACUGGGCUCAUCAUUACUAUUGGGCAAAUUCCCACAUUCCCUCAGUAUUAGGCUAAAGUUUAAUGUGACAUCCUACGGGUGGCACUAAGAGAAGAAUCCCGAAUUUCCCGCUGAGUUUGGAGUCAGACCUUGGUCAAGUUAGCAGAGCACCAAGGUAUAGCUGGGGGGGGGUCUGGCUUCCCCAUCAUCCAUCAGCACUGUUAUCCAGCAAAAGAGACUCGCUGCCCAAUGUGCUGGAAGCCAGUACUGUGACACCAGGGUUUUAAGAAAAGAAAAGCUUUAUGUCAAAAGUCCACUCACAAGGAGGCAAGAGUCAAGCUCAAAUCCCUUUCCCCAGGCUGACUUCAAGGCAGUAUUUUAUUAGAAAAGGUUCAGGGGCCGGACUCUGGGAUUAGAUGGGGCUUGGUGGAAGGAAAGGGGAGGGCUGAAAAGUCUUGGGCAUGCGCAGUAACGUCUCCCUGUUACCUCAUGGGUCCCAUGUGCAAAUUCAGAGGGAAUUAGAAUGGAACAUGCGGUGGAAAUUCAGGCUCUGACGUCAGCAACCUCGUUUUGCAAAAGCUCCAGUUGGCCACCUUGGUUCCAACUGAGUUCAGCUGGCUUUUCUUGAUCUCAUAAGCAGAGGGAGUUUCAGUGGUUCAGCAAGUUGGUUUUUUUCUUAUCUACUCUCCUGCAAACACGAGAAUUUCUGUAAGCUCCUGGUUUCUUACUCUUUGGGGCACAGUUUCCGUUUCAGCUUUUCAGCAAGUUGUUUCCUAUCUGUCGCCCUGUAAGCCCAAGAAUUUAGUCAUUUGUUUCUUCAACGGUUGGAGGCAGGGUGUCAGCACCCACUAGUAGUAUGGACAACUGACAUUAAUCUUACGUGAAGUGCAAAUAAGACGCAGCUUAACCCACUCGCUCCAUAGACAAUGGACUGCACUGUCUCUGGUACAGCCCAGGCCUGCGUCUUGGUAUCCCUGACCAUUUCAACCCCCAUUUUAGUGUUCUUUCCUCCUCACUGCCAAAAAGCCAUUUUAGGCAGCUUGUGGGUGCUUUUCAGAAGCGAUGUGUGUGUGAGAGAGGAAGGAGCCAAAACCCUUUGUUUUGGCUUUAAACCCGUCUGUGUAAGUGAGACUGAGUGGAAAGCCCCUGCUCCUCUCUCCAGCACUCCCUAAGGCAGGCAGCCACAACCUCCUCAAUUGCAGAUCAGAAGGGGGCCUUUGGAAAUUAUCCAGCCAGUGAAUCUCUUCAUUCUCCCCUGCCACAUCACACAUGAUGGAUGAAGUCCACAUGCUUGACAGGAUUCCAUGUAUGCACGUACUUUAAUGGAACAGCCAAAAACAUUGUGUGAGGAAAUAAUUGCCCUCAGAAAAGGAAAUUUUCUUUUCCUGAGUGUACUCUGCCAUGAUAACCCUUCCUUCCCACUCAGGAUGUAUUUUGAAUGCAGGUAGGUUAGCAUGAAUUUAUCUUGUACUAAUCUCCAAUCAACUCAAGUUGUUUUGCAGCGUGAACUCAUCCACACAUCUUCCCGAAGACGGAUAAAUCACGGUGCCCCAGCAGCUCCUCUUCACCUCCCAGAUAACACCUGCUGCCAGCCCUGCAAUUCUUUGGAGCCCCCUGAGUUGACUGUUGUGUCCUCAGCUUCCAUACCACAACUUAACACUAUUGAAAGAGAUGGAUAAGGGGCUCCUGGUAAUCUCUAGAUGUGUGCAGCAUUGAUUGAUAGGAAUAAGAGGUUUCUGUUUUUGUGCUACACCCCUUCCUUUAGAAUGUUGACUUUUUGCACCUGCCUCAAUAUUUGUAUCAGAAGAAUCAAGGUGUGGACAUGAGCUUCCUACACAUUUUCCCCAGCAUCUAGAGAGCAUAAGUGAGAAGGACGGAGACACGCCCGUCGGCACAGGCAUUCACAUCCCCUUCAAAGCCCUCCAUGGGCUCUCAACACACCCAGAGACAGGAGCUCUCCCUGGAACUACCCCCACAUGGUUAUUCUCUCAGGAGGUGGGAGGGGAGGGAGCUCUCCCUGGGGAAGGAGGAUCAGAAUCUUCUUCUAGCAAGAAGGUGGGGGAAGAGCGUUAUGUGUAAUAGAGACCGCACAGUCCACUCCCUCCUGCCCCAUAAUUAUCAGAGUCCUGCUCUAGGGACCAGCAGGGGUCAGCUCCAGAGUGACAUUUUCUUUUCUACCUGUGCUACUGUCUGGAAAACCAUGAAGUCCAGGACUAUGAGGAGAAUGUCAGCCAGGAUAGUGCCCAGUGUAGUGUUUCUUUACAGAAGUUCAAGACUGCUAGGCUGGGUGCAGGGGCUCAUGGCUGUAAUCCCAGUACUUUGAGAGGCAGGCAGAUCACAGAAGGCCAGGAGUUUGAGACCAGCCUGGCCAACAUGGUGAAACCCCUUCUCUACUGAAAAUACAAAAAAAAAAUUAGCUGUGGGUGAUGGUGGCACCAGUAGUCCCAGCUACUGGGGAGGCUGAGGCAGGAGUAUUACUUGAACCCAGGAGGUGGAGGUUGCAGUGAGCCAAAAUCACGCCACUGUACUUAAUCCUGGGCACCAGAGCAAGACUCUGUCUCACAUUAAAAAAAAAAAAAAAAAAAGACUUAGCCAUCUAGGAGGAGGUGGAAGGGAACGCUGCAAUCUGCCCAAGGUGACCAUGUAUUAGUUGUGACCCCGGAGGGAUAAUUCCAUCAAUUUGAAUAGGACUAGUAUAUGCCCAUCAUCAGCACCACCACCAUCAUCAUCUUCCCAAUUCUUCCUGGGAAGAUCAUCCCUGUGAUCCCACAAGCCUGUCAGUGAAGGUUCCCGGCAGUGGGGUUGGUCCAGAACAGAAUUAACUUGAAUUUGAUGGAUUUAAGGCAAUUUCUCUCAAGUCUCAUGCAGAAAACAAGCCCUCAUGUAUUGUUUUGUGUUUUGCUUGUUGUUGUCCUCAUCUUCCCAGAGUUGAAAUAUCAUGGAGACCCUCUUCCCAGGGAAAGAAAGGAGGAAAUUUGACCACUGGAAAGAGUGAGAGUGAGAUCUUCUCCUGACUUUGCAUUCUUGAAGACUGCAUGGUCCUGGCAUGUUUUGUUUGGAUGCUAAAUUAAGUGGAGAGGAGACUUUAUGAUGAGCGCCCAGGGAGCAAGAGAAGCCCUGAGACAGUGGCAAGGGACACUGUGGGGCCGCAGAAUGCAUCCAGGAGGGAUGGUUAUGGUGGACCUGAAACACCUCAACAGAGUGUUUGUGAGGACAGCCUUUGUGAGGAGCUGAGCUGAGCUGAGCUGAGCUGGCAUUUGGAAGCAGAACCUCAGAGAGACCCAGUUCUGAUGGAAUUGAGAGAGGAUGACGUGGGAGUCUGUAUAAGGAAAGUCUUGUAACAGAGGGCACUGCAACAGGUGCUCUCAAAAGGACCUUCAGCCUGAGAAGUGUAAGAGUUAAAGAAAGAGGAAAGAAACAUGAAAUGUGGCUUGACAGUUAAAGACAGAUUUAUUUCAGAGAAAAUAAACAUGAGAGGGGCUUCUGGCCAAUUUCAGUCAGGAGUGCUUGCUGUUACAGACUAAGAGUACAUGUUAGUUUUAGGGUGAGGGGGCUUAUUGCAAGCUUGGAAUAUUUCUGUGUAAGGGAGAAGUUUUAUGGUGAGGUUGGAAUGUCUCCAGAAGGAGGGGAGGUUAUCUUGGGGAUGACGUCUUUCCAGCUGGAGGGUUGGUGUCUUCCCAGCUGGAGUGGGGUUAUCUCAGGGCUAGCAUGUCUCUGGUUGGGGAGGAGUUUGAAAUGUUUCUGGUUGAAGAUGUUAUUUGUGGUUUAAGGUCAUGCUGACCUUAGCCAUUGGGCUGAUGCCCUUUGGAUUUAGGCGGUUUUUGAUUAAGGUAAACCUUAGAAUGAGGAGCUUGUCUAAGAUGGUGAUGCUCCUGCUCUGCUGAGAAGCAGCCUGGGAGGCAGGUGGGAGCACUGUGGGUCCAGCUCUGGUGGUCUUUAAGAACAAAUUGUAGGGAUGUGGGCUUGGUGGAAACUUAGAUUUAAAAAGUCUAAAUAGACUUUAAAAGAUCAUCCAUUUCAACUCCUUCAUUUUACAGAUGGGGAAACUGAGGCCCAGAAUGAUGAAGAUUCCUGCCUAUGUUUAGAAGGAAUAAAAUAUAUAUUUAGUUCCCAAUCGAACGGGGCAAAAAUUGUUAACAUCCAUGUGUUCUCCUUUCCCCAUCCCUGAGACAGAGAAGGUGGCAGCUCAGCCCUCCCUGUUUCCUGGCCCAUGACCGCUUCGUCCACCAAAGGGGCUUGCGGUGGUUUAUUAAAAUGGCUGCAAGUCCUCUGGCACUCCUUCAUGGAGAAGUGGAGUCUAUUUGCCUUCUCUAGGAGUUGGAUAGGCUUGUGCUGGUUUUCACCUGUGAUCAGAGCAUGCCUUGGAAGCCCAGGCCCCCCAGGAAGUCCCUGUCUACGUGCCCCUGUCAACAGCCCUCACUGAGCUGGGCUUUUCAGUCUACCCAGCCUGGGUACCAGAUGUGGGGAAGUUUCCAGCAAGGAAGACUUCAGCCCGUGCCAAUGAAUUCUUCCCAGCUGAGGCCCAGACUUCGGGAGCAGAGACAAGCCAUCCUCAUGCCCUGUGUCAACCUGAAAUAAGUGAAAGGAUUGGAAUCCACUUUAAAGAGUUUAUUCAAGCAAAAAGCUAGGAAUGACCAUUCGGAAAACAAGGGUUCCACAGAAAUGGAGUUAGUGCUCUGAAGUCAAAAGUUAAGAUCCUGCUUAUGUAGGAGGAAAACAAAGAAAUUGAACACGAUUACGACAUUUUCUAUACAAGCCUGUUUUAUGAGUUCUAACAAUUUAUAGUUUGUUUUCUUUUCUGUAUGGCUUGCUUUCAUUUAUUUUCUAUCUUAAAGGAAUAUAUUUAACAUAGUCACAAA